rnacentral:rRNA from 1 species
GGACCAAGGAGUCUAGCAUGUGCGCGAGUCAUUGGGAUAAUUACGAAACCUAAAGGCGCAAUGAAAGUGAAGGUUCGCCUUGCGCGAACCGAGGGAGGAUAGACGAUUUCGAGAAAUCGUCUCGCACUCCCGGGGCGUCUCGCUCUCAUCGCGAGAAGAGGCGCACCCAGAGCGUACACGCUGGGACCCGAAAGAUGGUGAACUAUGCCUGGUCAGGACGAAGUCAGGGGAAACCCUGAUGGAGGUCCGUAGCGAUUCUGACGUGCAAAUCGAUCGUCGGAACUGGGUAUAGGGGCGAAAGACUAAUCGAACCAUCUAGUAGCUGGUUCCCUCCGAAGUUUCCCUCAGGAUAGCUGGCGCUCGCUUCUCGCGAGUCUCAUUCGGUAAAGCGAAUGAUUAGAGGCAUUGGGGUCGAAACGGCCUCAACCUAUUCUCAAACUUUAAAUGGGUGAGAUCUCCGGCUUGCUUGAACUAUGAAGCCGCGAGAUAUCGGAUCAGAGUGCCAAGUGGGCCACUUUUGGUAAGCAGAACUGGCGCUGUGGGAUGAACCAAACGCUGAGUUAAAGCGCCUAAAUCGACGCUUAUGGGAUACCAUGAAAGGCGUUGGUAACUUAAGACAGCAGGACGGUGGCCAUGGAAGUCGGA